GAUGAAGAACGCAGCGAAAUGCGAUAACUAAUGUGAAUUGCAGAAUUCAGUGAAUCAUCGAGUCUUUGAACGCACAUUGCGUCCCCUGGUAUUCCGGGGGGCAUGCCUGUCCGAGCGUCAUUGCUGCCCUCAAGCACGGCUUGUGUGUUGGGCUCCGUCCCCCCGGGGACGGGCCCGAAAGGCAGCGGCGGCACCGAGUCCGGUCCUCGAGCGUAUGGGGCUUUGUCACCCGCUCUGUAGGCCCGGCCGGCGCCAGCCGACAACCCAUCAUCCUUUUCAGGUUGACCUCGGAUCAGGUAGGGAUACCCGCUGAACUUAAGCAUAUCAAUAAGCGGAGGA
rnacentral:misc_RNA from 1 species